GAAAACCAUAAGGGUUAAAAUAGUAGAUGAGGAGGAAUACGAAAGGCAAGAGAAUUUCUUCAUUGCCCUUGGUGAACCGAAAUGGAUGGAACGUGGAAUAUCAGGUUAUUCACUUGUGGAGUGGCCCAUAGGCCCCUCUGCCCUUCGAGGAGGAGAGAUAUGCUGCUGGGAGCCUCCUAGCAAAUGAAGCAGUGAAAUCCACCUGUUUGUCAAAAAGGGGUGAUCAUACUGCAAUUAGUUCAUAUUCAUGUGACAAAGAGCAGCAUAAAACUUUCCACGCGAGGACAGAUCUAAGAGAUUCAGCAACAACAUUCCCAAAGGAUCCUCUACAGGCCUUCUCAGUGUGAUUGAUCAGUUCUCAUUGUCUGCUGGGGACUCUCCUGCAGAGCUGACCACUUCUGUGCCUGCACUGGUUUGGACACACCUGAUGCUCUAGGGGCAGAACUCCUCUCCUUCUUCACUGCUGGUUCUCUUCGUUACCACUCAAU
rnacentral:sRNA from 1 species